rnacentral:rRNA from 1 species
CACUUCUAAGGAAGGCAGCAGGCGCGCAAAUUACCCAAUCCUGACUCAGGGAGGUAGUGACAAGAAAUAACAAUAAACCGGCUUAUGCCGGUUUAAUUGGAAUGAGUACAAUUUAAACAUCUUAACGAGGAACAAUUGGAGGGCAAGUCUGGUGCCAGCAGCCGCGGUAAUUCCAGCUCCAAUAGCGUAUACUAAAGUUGUUGCAGUUAAAAAGCUCGUAGUUGGAUUUCUGUGGGGACGGAGCGGCCGGCCGCACAUCGCGGUUCGAGCUAGCGCUUUCCCUACAUCCUGCCGCGAACCGUGCUACCAUUAGUUUGGUGGCGCCGGGGAUCGGCUCGAUUACUUUGAGAAAAUAGAGUGUUCAAAGCAGGCCACAUGCCUUGAAUAAGUUAGCAUGGAAUAAUAACUAAGGACUUCGGUUCUAUUUUGUUGGUGUUCGGGACUGAAGUAAUGAUUGAUAGGGACAGUUGGGGCGGUCUGUAUUCCAAAGCGAGAGGUGAAAUUCUUAGACCUUCGGAAGACAAACAGCUGCGAAAGCGUUCCGCAAGGAUGUUCCCUUUGAUCAAGAACGAAAGUUGGGGGAUCGAAGACGAUCAGAUACCGUCGUAGUCUCAACUAUAAACUAUACCAGCUAGGGAUCGGCCAACGUUAUUUAAACCGACUUGGUCGGUACCUUAUGAGAAAUCAAAGCAUCUGGGUUCCGGGGGGAGUAUGGUCGCAAGGCUGAAACUUAAAGGAAUUGACGGAAGGGCACCACCAGCCGUGGAGCCUGUGGCUUAAUUUGACUCAACACGGGAAAACUUACCAGGUCCAGACAUAGUAAGGAUUGACAGAUUGAUAGCUCUUUCUUGAUUCUGUGGGUGGUGGUGCAUGGCCGUUCUUAGUUGGUGGAGUGAUUUGUCUGGUUAAUUCCGUUAACGAACGAGACCCCAGCCUGCUAAAUAGCGCGCGUGAGCUUUGCUCGCGGCGAGCUUUUUAGAGGGACUAUGAUGCGCGAUAGCACAUGGAAGUUUGGGGCAAUAACAGGUCUGUGAUGCCCUUAGAUGUUCUGGGCCGCACACGGGCUACACUGGCGCCUGCAACGAGCAUAUCAGCUGGCCCGAGAGGGUCUUGGCUAAUCUUUUGAACCGGCGCCGUGCUUGGGAUUGACCUUUGCAAUUGUUGGUCAUGCAACGAGGAAUGCCUUGUAAACGCGAGUCAUCAGCUCGCAUUGAAUACGUCCCUGCCCUUUGUACACACCGCCCGUCGCUCCUACCGAUGAAUGUUCCGAUGAAAUUUUCGGAGAGUGCCUGUGAACUUGGCUCUGCCUUGCGAACGGGAAGCUCAAAGUCACUUAAAUCUGAACAUUUCGA